GGAGGGUGCGAGCGUUGUUCGGAAUCAUUGGGCGUAAAGCGCGUGUAGGCGGCUUGGCAAGUCGGAUGUGAAAUCCCGGGGCCCAACCCCGGAACUGCAUUCGAAACUGCCUCGCUAGAGUCCCGGAGAGGAAGGCGGAAUUCCCGGUGUAGAGGUGAAAUUCGUAGAUAUCGGGAGGAACACCAGUGGCGAAGGCGGCCUUCUGGACGGUGACUGGCGCUGAGACGCGAAAGCGUGGGGAGCAAACAGGAUUAGAUACCCUGGUAGUCCACGCCGUAAACGUUGGGUGCUAGGUGUCGCGGGUAUUGACCCCCCUGCGGUGCCGUCGUUAACGCAUUUAGCACCCCGCCUGGGGAGUACGGUCGCAAGGCUA
rnacentral:rRNA from 1 species